CAGCCGCCGCGGUAAUACGUAGGUGGCAAGCGUUGUCCGGAAUUAUUGGGCGUAAAGGGCUCGCAGGCGGUUUCUUAAGUCUGAUGUGAAAGCCCCCGGCUCAACCGGGGAGGGUCAUUGGAAACUGGUCGACUUGAGUGCAGAAGAGGAGAGUGGAAUUCCAUGUGUAGCGGUGAAAUGCGUAGAUAUAUGGAGGAACACCAGUGGCGAAGGCGACUCUCUGGUCUGUAACUGACGCUGAGGCUCGAAAGCGUGGGUAGCAAACAGGAUUAGAGACCCGAGUAGUCCCUGUCUCUUAUAA
rnacentral:rRNA from 1 species